GAGAGGUAAGCAUAAGUUGUGUGCAGCUAGCUUGAAACUAGAGGGAGGGGGUUCGAUUCCCUCACAUCUCG
rnacentral:tRNA from 1 species